rnacentral:rRNA from 2 species
ACAACUCUCAACAACGGAUAUCUUGGCUCCCGCAACGAUGAAGAACGCAGCGAAAUGCGAUACGUAGUGUGAAUUGCAGAAUUCCGUGAACCAUCGAAUCUUUGAACGCAUAUUGCGCCCCACGGCCUCGGCCCAGGGCAUGUCUGCCUCAGCGUCUGUUUA